GACGAACGCUGGCGGCGUGCUUAACACAUGCAAGUCGAACGGAAAGGCCCUGCUUUUGUGGGGUGCUCGAGUGGCGAACGGGUGAGUAACACGUGAGUAACCUGCCCUUGACUUUGGGAUAACUUCAGGAAACUGGGGCUAAUACCGGAUAUGAUCUCCUGCUGCAUGGUGGGGGUUGGAUAGUUUCGGCGGUUGGGGAUGGACUCGCGGCUUAUCAGCUUGUUGGUGGGGUAGUGGCUUACCAAGGCUUUGACGGGUAGCCGGCCUGAGAGGGUGACCGGCCACAUUGGGACUGAGAUACGGCCCAGACUCCUACGGGAGGCAGCAGUGGGGAAUAUUGCACAAUGGGAGGAAGCCUGAUGCAGCAACGCCGCGUGCGGGAUGACGGCCUUCGGGUUGUAAACCGCUUUCGCCUGUGACGAAGCGUGAGUGACGGUAAUGGGUAAAGAAGCACCGGCUAACUACGUG
rnacentral:rRNA from 1 species